CCUACGGGUGGCAGCAGUAGGGAAUAUUGCUCAAUGGGGGAAACCCUGAAGCAGCAACGCCGCGUGGAGGAUGAAGGUUUUCGGAUUGUAAACUCCUUUUGUUAGAGAAGAUAAUGACGGUACCUAACGAAUAAGCACCGGCUAACUCCGUUCCAGCAGCCGCGGUAAUACGGAGGGUGCAAGCGUUACUCGGAAUCACUGGGCGUAAAGCGCGCGUAGGCGGGAUAGCAAGUCAGAGGUGAAAUCCUAUGGCUUAACCAUAGAACUGCAAUUUAAACUGUUAUUCUUGAGUACAGGAGAGGUAGGUGGAAUUCGUGGUGUAGGGGUAAAAUCCGUAGAGAUCAAGAGGAAUACUCAUUGCGAAGGCGACCUGCUAGAACAUAACUGACGCUGAUGCGCGAAAGCGUGGGGAGCAAACAGGAUUAGAUACCCCUGUAGUC
rnacentral:rRNA from 1 species